UCCCCGAUAGCUCAAUUGGUAGAGCGCCGGACUGUUAAUCCGUAGGUUCGAGGUUCGAGUCCUCGUCGGGGAG
rnacentral:tRNA from 1 species